UGAGCAUGAUGAUGAUUGUUUUAUUAGUCCGAUUAUAUAUGAAUGGAUCUAUAACCUCCUACUCAUUCUGA